rnacentral:rRNA from 1 species
UACGAAGGAUCCAAGCGUUAUCCGGAUUUAUUGGGUUUAAAGGGUGCGUAGGCGGGCUAUUAAGUCAGUGGUGAAAGCCCCAAGCUUAACUUGGGAAUUGCCAUUGAUACUGAUGGUCUUGAGUACACUUGAAGUGGGCGGAAUGUGUCAUGUAGCGGUGAAAUGCUUAGAUAUGACACAGAACACCGAUUGCGAAGGCAGCUCA